UACGGGGGGGGCAAGCGUUGUUCGGAAUUACUGGGCGUAAAGGGCUCGUAGGCGGCCAACUAAGUCAGACGUGAAAUCCCUCGGCUUAACCGGGGAACUGCGUCUGAUACUGGAUGGCUUGAGUUCGGGAGAGGGAUGCGGAAUUCCAGGUGUAGCGGUGAAAUGCGUAGAUAUCUGGAGGAACACCGGUGGCGAAGGCGGCAUCCUGGACCAAUAUUGACGCUGAGGAGCGAAAGCCAGGGGAGCAAAGCGGG
rnacentral:rRNA from 1 species